rnacentral:rRNA from 1 species
GCAGGCUGCAACCCGCCUGCAUGAAGUCGGAAUUGCUAGUAAUCGCGGAUCAGCAUGCCGCGGUGAAUACGUUCCCGGGCCUUGUACACACCGCCCGUCACACCAUGGGAGCCGGUAAUACCCGAAGUCAGUAGUCCAACCUCGUGAGGACGCUGCCGAAGGUAGGAUUGGCGACUGGGGUGAAGUCGUAACAAGGUAUC